CCUGCCGGAGCAGAUUCCAGGCCGGACCUGUAGCCUGUGGAGAGGAGACCACGCAGGAGCAGUCUCAGUUCAACAGGCAGUCCUACGUGGAUGGAAGUGCCAAGGUUUCAUUUAUCUACUGCCUGCAGCGCUUGAUGCUGAUUAAGGUGAUGAUUUACAACUUUGCAAAGUUUAUUUAAUGGACCUAGCAUGUGUCACACAGAGAGGAAUAGACCUUGAAGACAACACUUGCUUUACUGAUUCUACAAAAGUAAAGGAGGAAAGAACAGCUGGGAGACAUUAAAGGAUAAACACUUUAUUAGUGUAUAGUGCUAAGUGUACAUUCCAUGGCCUUAUCACUUUAUGAUGUGAUCAAACAAAAUGUCACAAGCAAAGCAGAGAUGAGCUACUUUGGUACUUGGCCAAAAGACCUCCAAGGAACCCAUAGGUACUGCGGGAAGCGAUAUUAGCAAUUUAUGGGAUGCCAUUUUUCUCUGAGCAAGCAUCGAAGUGUUAUAAAAGGGGUGACUGCUUGCAAAUUGUUGUCAGUAUGUGAAGCAAAAUUUGGUUUCUGGGAACUUGUUCAGUGCAAUAGUCUUAUCUUAGCACCAGCUUUGUGAAUUAUUUUUACUUAUGUAAAUUUACAUGACUUUUCAAGCAAGCUUCAGUUCACAUCAGUUUCAUAUAAAUUCUGAUCAAACUUGAUUUGCAACAGGACAGAAUGGAUCAAAAUCAUACAAAACUAAGAAUGGUAAUGCAGUGGAAUUACUUUUAACAAGUAAUAGAAUAAAGAAGAUUACAAUCUGAAAAGAAAAAAAAAAAAAAGAUUUUGUAAGGGAAAAAAUGAGUCAAUAGGUAGAUUAUACUGAUUUUGUAUUGACAUAUUUCUGAUUAAUAUGAGCUAUUUUCAUAAUAAUAUUUUGAUCACUUGGGGGGGGAGGGAGGGGGAGAUUAAUUGAAAAAUGUAAAAAGUCUGUUGUUUGUUUGUUUGUUUUCCAAAUUAUAUUUUUAAACAUAUUAAUUUGAUGGUUCCAGUCUCUUGCACAGUUAUUCAAUAAACAAAGUGUCCAUCCAGUAUAUGCAAGAUCAAGGUUCAUAAUUUUCCCUUUGGCCCACUGUUCAGACCAAUACUUUACAGCCCACUGUUCAGACCAAUACUUUUACUCCCGCCUUUUGGAACAUUCUGCAAAGGGUCAUGUUCAGUUUCUCCCAUGUACAAAAAUAAAUUGUAUCAAUAGCAACUACAUGUAGCAUGGAUUGUGAAAAUUAAUAUAAUGCUCAACCUAUUAGGUAAAUGUCUACUUUACAGGGUCACUUGAUGUGAGAUUUCAUGUAGCAGCCUGCCACAGAAAUAAAUAGGGAGCUUCCAGAAAGCAAUUCACCUUAUCUUAAAGUAGGAAAAAGAUGCAGGUUAUCCUUAUAUAUUUAACUGUAUGAUGAAAAUACAGAAUACAGUUCACCAACAUUUAAUUGUCUAAAUAUAUACGUCAACGUAUCCUGACAUCUUAAGUCUCAUAGUAUCUUAAGAUACCAUUUAUGUCAAAGGAGAUUAUAGACAACACAGAAAAUGGAACCUAUACAGAGGUUCAGAGCUAAUUACACUAGACAAAUCAUUUUAUUUUGCCAUGUUUUAAAAUAAUAUUCCCAAAAUGAUAAAAUAGGUGUUAAAUAGACCAUCUUAUUUUACCUGGAAUCUGUUAACAUGCACAUCUUCUUUAAAAGAAAAAAAAAAGGGGGGGGGAGGGGGCACACAACAAAACUUUUGCUUGCAAUCAGAUUAAUUCUUUGAUUUGAAAACUAAAAAUAAACUACUCAUCAAUCACUGUGCUUGACAGUCAGUCAUCUAAAUACAAGAUUAUCAUGUUCUUUGUACCAAUUCACUUAAAAGAUUGUUGUAUUUUGGCUUCAAGAUCUACAGCUUUGUACCUAUUUGCAAAGAUAGUUUGGAUGAAAUUCUUGUUAUUCUUUACUUCAUUACUAAUUACUAUGGAUUCACUUUUCAUACUGAAAUCAAAAGAAUACAGAUGUAUAUAACCCUGA